UCUGUUGCUUUGGCGGCUCCGGCCGCCCAAGGACCUCCAAACUCCAGUCAGUAGACGCACACGUCUGAUAAACAAGUUAAUAAACUAAAACUUUCAACAACGGAUCUCUUGGUUCUGGCAUCGAUGAAGAACGCCGCACGGCUCUCGCAUCCUUGACUAGCGCAGCAGCGUAGCUCUGAACAAACAAAAGCAAUAGUUCA
rnacentral:rRNA from 1 species